UUACGGCCAUAUCACGUUGAAACACCGGUUCUCGUAAGAUCACCGAUUAAGCAACGUCGAGCCUGGUCAGUACCGAGAUGGGUGUCGGCUUUGAAAUAACAGGCGCUGCAAG